UGUUUUUAAUUAUUUAUUCAUUAAAAACCCGGCUAAGUGAAUCAUAGAAUGUUAAGCACUACACCAUGACUUAAGAUUAGAUUCAAGGAGACCUAUUAAGAAUAGAAUUUCUUGUAGGCUUUGUGGACCAAGGGGAUUAGCACUGUUUUCCCAAGACAGGUUAUGUGAUUAUGAUCUUCAGGCUUUGCCUAUCCAGGUGGGCAUUACUUUUACUAUACGUAUAUAGAGAUCCCCUGCGUGUCGUAGGCCUCUUAUACGAAUAUAUGCAUGAGAUGAUUUUAACUGUUAAUUUCAGUUUAUUAUUAUGCCCAAAUGAUAAAUGACUCUUAUGAAAUGAAAAUGAAAUGUUCAUGAAAUGAAAUGAAAUGUUUAUGAAAUGAUUGACUGCCAAAAAUGUUUAUGUUUUUAUAUGUAUCCUAUCUGUGUUGGUUCGCCAACUUUAAAGGAAAUCCAAUUGGGAUCCUAUGCUAGACAAAGGUCGCUAGCUAGGGUUAACGUGUACACUCAUGGAGACCGCGAGUCGCUUGCGACCGGUCUUGGCGUCCGUGGUAAGGAGGCCUCCUUCCCGGCGCGUGACAGAAAGGAACAGAUAUGGAUCAUAUGAAGGAAAAUGAUCGGCCGAUCGACUUUAUGAAAAUGAAAGAAAUGUUUUAGUAAGCGCAGGUCUUUCAAGAAAACCCCUGUGUGUUACUGUUAUGGCAGUUCAAUUUAUAUAUGUAUGCAUGAAUGUAUUUUCGGCUAUGCCCACUGAGUAUUUUUAUACUCAGCCCUGCAUGUAUUUCUAAAUGUGCAGGUUGAGCAGUUGAUGGAAUGGAAUGAUGUUGAGCGGGUGUUCCUUUGACAUUUCAAGAAAUGUAACCUUGAGUAUACAUCUUCAUAUGUAUAUCUCACACGUUUUCCGCUGCAAAA
rnacentral:lncRNA from 1 species